CCUACGGGUGGCAGCAGUGAGGAAUAUUGGUCAAUGGGCGCGAGCCUGAACCAGCCAAGUCGCGUGAGGGAUGACUGCCCUAUGGGUUGUAAACCUCUUUUAUACGGGAAUAAAGUGCGGCACGCGUCCCUCUUUGCAUGUACUUUAUGAAUAAGGAUCGGCUAACUCCGUGCCAGCAGCCGCGGUAAUACGGAGGAUCCGGGCGUUAUCCGGAUUUAUUUGGUUUAAAGGGAGCGUAGGGGGGGUUUUAGGUCAGCGGUGAAAGUUUGCGGCUCACCCUUAGAAUGGCGGUUGAGACUGGGAGGGUGGAGGAGGGUUGAGGCAGGCGGAAUGCGUGGUGUAGCGGUGAAAUGCAUAGAUAUCACGAAGAACCCAGAUGGCGAAGGCAGC
rnacentral:rRNA from 1 species